UUUCUACUCAAACCAGACUGAUUUUCUAAUCUCACAUCCUCCAACAGGUCAUCUACCUAAUUACUUCACUAUGUGACCAAAGACAGUGACUGUCUCCACAUUUCUGCCAAUCCCUGCUGAAACAACGUGUCUGAGAGGACAGCAAGAGAAAGCCUACAGAGGUCUCCUGAUGUAGAAGCACCCUCCUACUGCCCUCCUGCUGCCCAGCAGAGUUUGUCCCCUCAUAACAGUUCUUUUGCCAGGAAGGAGAGAGUUCAUUCACACCAGUGACCAGCCUCAGAAGGGCUGAAGAAGCCCAACUUUGUCCCUUGAAAGCAAUACGCAACACAGGAGUUUCAGUGAACUACAAUACACCACAGUGUUUAUUAACUCUGGAUUAGUGUGA